AACAACGGAUCUCUUGGUUCCGGCAUCGAUGAAGAACGCAGCGAAAUGCGAUAAGUAAUGUGAAUUGCAGAAUUCAGUGAAUCAUCGAGUCUUUGAACGCACAUUGCGCCCCCUGGUAUUCCGGGGGGCAUGCCUGUCCGAGCGUCAUUGCU
rnacentral:rRNA from 1 species